AUUGAACGCUGGCGGCAGGCUUAACACAUGCAAGUCGAACGAGUGGCGGACGGGUGAGUAAUGCUUGGGAAACUGCCUGAUGGAGGGGGAUAACUACUGGAAACGGUAGCUAAUACCGCGUACCAUAAGAUGUGCCCAAGUGGGAUUAGCUAGUUGGUGGGGUAAUGGCUCACCAAGGCGACGAUCCCUAGCUGGUCUGAGAGGAUGACCCGCCACACCGGAACUGAGACACGGUCCAGACUCCUACGGGAGGCAGCAGUGGGGAAUAUUGCACAAUGGGCGCAAGCCUGAUACAGCCAUGCCGCGUGUAUGAAGAAGGCCUUCGGGUUGUAAAGUACUUUCAGCGGGGAGGCGUUACCCGCAGAAGAAGCACCGGCUAACUCCGUGCCAGCAGCCGCGGUAAUUC
rnacentral:rRNA from 1 species